AUUGAACGCUGGCGGCAUGCUUUACACAUGCAAGUCGAACGGCAGCACGGGGGCAACCCUGGUGGCGAGUGGCGAACGGGUGAGUAAUGCAUCGGAACGUGCCCUGUCGUGGGGGAUAACACAUCGAAAGAUGUGCUAAUACCGCAUACGACCUGAGGGUGAAAGCGGGGGACCGUAAGGCCUCGCGCGAUAGGAGCGGCCGAUGUCUGAUUAGCUAGUUGGGGGGGUAAAGGCCUACCAAGGCGACGAUCAGUAGCUGGUCUGAGAGGACGGCCAGCCACACUGGGACUGAAGCACGGCCCAGACUCCGACGGGAGGCAGCAGUGGGGAAUGUUGGACAAUGGGGGCAACCCUGAUCCAGCCAUGCCGCGUGCGGGAAGAAGGCCUUCGGGUUGUAAACCGCUUUUGGCAGGAACGAAACGGUGCGGGCGAAUACCCUGUGCUAAUGACGGUACCUGCAGAAUAAGCACCGGCUAACUACGUGCCAGCAGCCGCCGCGGUAA
rnacentral:rRNA from 1 species